rnacentral:rRNA from 1 species
UUAUGAUAUAUAAGUAGAAUUGGGCAAUAAAAGCUAUUGCUUAAAACCUAAAGAAUUUGGCGGUAUCUUAAGAGAUCAGGGGAAUCUGUUGCUUAAUUUGAUAAUCCACGAAUAAAAUUCCUUUUUUUGAAAUUCAGCUUGUGUAUUGCUGUCGUCAGUAAACCUCUAAAAGUUAGUUUACAAAUAUAAUUAUUUAUUUACGUCAAGUCUAAGUGCAGCUUAUAUAAAGGUGUAAAAUGGGUUACAAUCUAAAUAUGGAUAUGGAAUAGCUAUGUAGUUAUGAAGGUGGACUUGAGAGUAAUAAUGUAAGGUUAUGAAGUUUUAUCUAAGAUAUGCACAUAUCGCCCGUCGCUCUCGUCUAAAGAUR